rnacentral:rRNA from 1 species
GAUGAACGCUAGCGGGAGGCUUAACACAUGCAAGUCGAGGGGCAGCACGGGGUAGCAAUACUCUGGUGGCGACCGGCAAACGGGUGAGUAACGCGUAUGUAACCUACCCUGUACAGGGGGAUAACCCGGAGAAAUUCGGACUAAUAUCCCAUAACAAUAUCCGGGGGCAUCUUUGGAUAUUUAAAGUUCCGGCGGUACGGGAUGGGCAUGCGUAACAUUAGCUAGUUGGUAAGGUAACGGCUUACCAAGGCUUUGAUGUUUAGGGGUCCUGAGAGGGUGGUCCCCCACACUGGUACUGAGACACGGACCAGACUCCUACGGGAGGCAGCAGUGAGGAAUAUUGGUCAAUGGGCGCAAGCCUGAACCAGCCAUCCCGCGUGCAGGAAGACGGCGCUAUGCGUUGUAAACUGCUUUUCCAGGGAGAGAAACUUGCGCACGUGUUGCGCAAUUGACGGUACCCUGGGAAUAAGCAUCGGCUAACUCCGUG